rnacentral:rRNA from 1 species
UGGCAUUGCCGGGUAGCUAUGUUCGGAAAAGAUAACCGCUGAAAGCAUCUAAGCGGGAAACUUGCCUCAAGAUGAGAUCUCACUGGGAACUUGAUUCCCCUGAAGGGCCGUCGAAGACUACGACGUUGAUAGGCUGGGUGUGUAAGCGUUGUGAGGCGUUGAGCUAACCAGUACUAAUUGCCCGUGAGGCUUGACCAUAUAACACCCAAACA